UACGAAGGGGGCUAGCGUUGUUCGGAAUUACUGGGCGUAAAGCGCACGUAGGCGGAUAUUUAAGGCAGGGGUGAAAUCCCAGAGCUCAACUCUGGAACUGCCUUUGAUACUGGGUAUCUCGAGUAUGGAAGAGGUGAGUGGAAUUCCGAGUGUAGAGGUGAAAUUCGUAGAUAUUCGGAGGAACACCAGUGGCGAAGGCGGCUCACUGGUCCAUUACUGACGCUGAGGUGCGAAAGCGUGGGGAGCAAACAGG
rnacentral:rRNA from 1 species